CCUACGGGAGGCAGCAGUGGGGGAUAUUGCACAAUGGGGGAAACCCUGAUGCAGCGACGCCGCGUGUGGGAAGACGGUCCUCUGGAUUGUAAACCACUGUCCCCAGGGACGAAGAUGACGGUACCUGGGGAGGAUGCUCCGGCGAACUACGUGCCAGCAGCCGCGGUAAUACGGAGGCUGCGAGGGUUAUCCGGUUUUAUUGGGUUUAACGGGUACGUUGGCGGGCGUUUAAGUCAGCGGGAAAAAUUCGGGGCUCAACCCCGUCCGGCCGUGGAAACUGGGGGCCUUGAGUGGGCGAGAAGUAGGCGGAAUGCGUGGUGUAGCGGUGAAAUGCAUAGAUAUCACGCAGAACCCCGAUUGCGAAGGCAGCCUUCCGGCGCGCUACUGACGCUGAGGCACGAAAGUGCGGGUAUCGAACAGGAUUAGAUACCCGAGUAGUC
rnacentral:rRNA from 1 species